CGUGGCGUAAACAGCAAAAAUUUGUUUUCUUGUGCUUCUGGAGGCUGGAAGGCUGAGACCAAGGUGUCGGCAGGGUUGGCUCCUCCUGAGGCCUCUUUCCUUGGUUUGCAGAUGAGCGUCUUCUCCCUGUGUCUUCUGUACCUAUGUCUUUGUUCAAAUUUUCCCUUCUUACAAGGGCACCAGUUAUAUUGGACGAUGGCCCUCGCUAAGGACCUCAUUUUACCUCUUUAAAGACCUUUUCUCCCAAUACAGUCACAUUCUGGUUACGGAGGAUUACAACUUCCAUAAAUGAAUUUUGGGAAGGAUAAUUCAGCCCACAACGCCAUCAUUUUCCACAACUACUGUGAGGCCCCUAGUUAGCCACUUUCUCCCCCAAGGCGCACAGCAACCAGGGGCCUUUUGUCCUCUAAAUCUACCGUAUUAAGUGCCUGGUUGACUCAGACUUGGACCCGCUCCUGUCAGAUGAGAGGGAUGAUGAAGCCCUGCGUCUGGCUCUUGAAGCAAAUGCCUCAUCAUGCGUCUUCUCCUCAAAAAGCUGCCUGUUGAUUAGAGUCUUGGAACAGUGUCUUUCCACAGCUUGUCGGCCCUGCUCACUGGCCUCAUGCCCAAGAAAUGCCUACUGUGCCUAGCUGAUAAGUCUAAAAGGACGUAGGCCCAGUGGAGGCCAAAGCUGAGCCAUAUUCGGGUUUAUAGAGCAUUUGUGGAAAUUAGAGCUUAAUAAUAUAUAUUAAGGACUGUUGUGCAACAACCACAAUGAAAUAUUCAUCCCACUCAUAAGAUUCAGAGGAAUAAAAUAAACGUCCCCCAGGGACAACCUGCAAUGUUGGAGAAAUGUUAAUGGCGCCUUCCGAUCUCAGAAAGUACUCUGCAGUCUUAAAAUAGAACAACCUAAAGGUGACAGUGAUCUUCUGAGAAGGGGCAAAAGGAGGGGACACGGCAUAGGGAUUCCGAAUACCUGAUAACAGAGCCCCAGCCGUCCCUGGGAGAAGAGCCAACCACCAAGGUCAGGCCAUGGAUCUCAAAACAGCCCUGAGGAUAGCUGUGCCUCCGAGAUCAGGCUAAACUGCCCUGGGGUGACUCAGCUGAAGCUUGGAGACCUUAUGCAACUUGACCAAGUUCCCAUGGUGGCUAAAAUUAUGUAGUGGAUGCUGUGCUACGCUGACCAGAUGCCACUUUCAGGAUUGAGGGACACAGUCCCCCAGAUGCUGGGGAUGCUCUCAGCUGUUAGCCUCGAGACAUUUCCCUUGGCUGAAGACAGCCUCCUCUCCCAAGGUCUUGACAGCACUCCCUAAUAAACUUCCUGCGUGAUAGAAACAGAGAGGGAGAGAGAGAGAGAGAAAAAGAAAACAGGAAAACAGUACCCUUUCCUGGAUUCUUUACUUCCACCCGCCAGAAAAAUUGUCGAAACAACUAUAUAAAUAUAUGAGUGGGAUUUGGAAGGCGCCCCUUGAAGUUGUGCAGUGUACAACCUGCACAAAGAAGCAGUGGCUCGGUGUCAACCCCAUCUCACUCCUCUGCUUUUGGGGGUCCCCAGCACCAUUCAGCUGGAUUGAUUGACGAGUGUCCACUUGACCUUAACCAGUGCCUGAGCCAGCCUUCACAGGGAGGGAAGCAUGUCAGUUGCCUCAGCCACAUCACACAGUAGAACUUAGAAGUCAUUCCUUGUGUCCACCAGAUCUGGAAGGUGAGAAGCUAGGAGGGAGCUCUGAGGGCUCCCUAGAGACUUUCCCUCCUCAGCUUUGUGGCCUCGAUUUUACUCCUGGCCCUAACACCUUCCCAGAUCGUGCUCAGCUCUUUGGGCAUGAUUCUGUUUCCCCAGCCUCUCUUGGCCCCAAGUCACUCUCUCUCACUUUGGUCUUAAGCUGCUGUAUUUCCCAGAAUGCAUUUUGCCCAUGUCAAAUGUGAAAUAAAGUUCCUGGAAUAUCUGGGAUAUCUGGGAUCAUGCCUGGCAUCUCCUAACACCAACACAAAAGAAGCCCUAUAUGGGGCAAAAUAA
ensembl:lncRNA